ACCUACCUAUGACUUUGAGUUUUGUUUGUCCCAGUGGAGCGUUUCUUGAUGAAAACUCCCGGGAACUCUGUUAACUACCUACUUCUGUAGGUACCUCCCAUGCUGAGUUUAGAAUAAACAACUCACUGGCUCACCAAGCAACAUGAUUCUCUGUAGUCAGAACAGUUGAUUGAACACACCAGUGUAGUAUAGGGAAGAGAAGGUCUGUGUUCUAAGUAUGUAUAAAGCCGGCCGAUUAUUGAGUUUCCCUGUGCUAAACAUAGCAGCCCCGGUUUUGUUUUCACUGAAAACAAAGCAUCUACUGUGUUUAACGUUUCCGUUGAAAAAAAGAAGGGCGGAGGAAAA
rnacentral:sRNA from 2 species